ensembl:lncRNA
AGAAGUGCCACAUUGACUGGCACCCUCCUCCCAUACUGUGCCUCACAGCUGGCAGGAGCUGUUUCCAAGUCUCGCUGUGGUGAAGGUCAUUAAGGGACCUUCUAAGAGAUUUUCCAUGCUGAGAAAGACAUCACAAGAGACAAGGGGCAAGGCUUAUUUGUUAAAAGAAGGUUGACUAAGGAAACCUGGCGGAAAGAUAAUAGUUUGACAGAAGUAGCAAGAAGGGAGGGGGAGGGCUGGGGAUUUAGCUCAGGGGUUCCAGCUGCCUGCCCGGUAAGUGAGGACCCGCGUUGAGUUCGAUCCCUGGUACCAAAAAAAAAAAAAAAAGAAGAGAGGGAGAAUAAGUGAUGGGGAGUGCUGGAGUUACCUGCAAAAGAAGAGCAAGGCUUGAGAAUGGAUGUCUGGAGACCAACGAUUCUGUUUCUGUAAAGAAAUGCAAAUUGUCAGGACCCACGACAGACCUACUGAAUCAGCUCUGGCUCAUGCUUGUGAAUUCCAGUUUAUCCUCACUCUACUUUGCAACUGCCUGCCCUUGGACUUCAAGCACCAGCAUUAGAUGUGAAGACAACAGCCUUCUAGAAACUGCUUAACCAGCUGUCUUUGUUUUGUAUGGUGAUGCAGGACUGUAAAAAUGACUGUGUAAGCUGAAACCAUGCAAAGCAAUCUUAGCAAUCAACGAGAAAAUGGAUGGUUGCUUUGCAACCUUUUAGUUGUUGUUAUGGCUUGUAUUUAGAUGUCCCCCCAAAGCUUCAUGAGGUCAUAGGUGGAGCUUUUUGGAGGUGGCUGGAUCUAGGGUGUAUAAAUGUGAAUUAAGGGUGUGAUACUGGGAUUAAGGGUGUGUGGCACUGGAUUAGACCACUAAUUGGUUUAUCAUAGUUCUGGGUGUGAGUAAUGCGAAGCCUCACCCUGGAUGUUGGUGGCUCCACCCAAAAGGCAGGUAGCCUGGAUGAGAUAAAAGGGUAGGGGAGUCUUGCUGCUUCUUUUGCUGCUUUGCUGCUGCUACUGCUGCUUACCACUUGCUCUGCUGUGGACCGUUUCUCCUCUGUGAUGCUCCUCUGCUAUACUGCCCUGCUUUGGAGCCAGGGAUUGAACUCGGGACCUUGCGCUUGCAAGGCAGGCACCGGAACCACUGAGCUAAAUCCUUGGCCCCAGACAACAAUUCUGACAGUGGAGCUGCCAAGUGAUUGAAGAGGGGAAAGCAAGUUGCUCCAGAACCUGGGAAGAAGCAAAAGGCUGGUGGGACUUUGAGAGCUCCGUUGUCUCCUGGGCACAGCAGGAGCAGCAGCAGUGAAAACAACAUGUUCCUGAGUGGGGAAGCAAGGUACUUCAUGCACAGGGUUUGUAAGGAAGGAGAUAACUGUCGUUACUCGCAGGACACCUCUCGGACAAUCCCUACGGUAUACUAUGCAAUUAUUUCCAGCAAGAGUACUGCGUGUAUGGAGAUGGCUACAGAUAUGAGCACCGCAAGCCAUUGAAACAGGAAGAAGCAGUAGCUAUAGAUCUAACUGCAAAAGCACCCCUUGCCGCUGCCUCGAGUUCCUCCUCCGUCGCUGAAGCUCUCAGGGAGAUGAAUACAGGCGAGGCUGAGUCCAGAAAUGCAAAUUCCCCGCCCUAGGUACAGUACAGGGUCAGAGGACUGGGUGAAUGCCAUUGAGUUCUGCCCAGCCAGCCCUACUGUGACCACGCCGCCCCUGCCUGCACAAAGGUCCUGGUGCAGGGAUCAGUGCCCAAGGCAGAGUCUGAGGAGCUGGCUACGUGGAGACCGAGAAGCAGCUCUGCCCCUAAGCGCUGUGGGAGAACUGCGUGUGGUGACACCUGGGACAUGUGCGGGCUGCAGGUCCAGCUCCUGGUGGAUACAGUCCAGAGGUCCCAGCAAAUAAAAUCUUGCAUCGAGGCCCACGAGAAGGACAUGGAGCUGUCCUUUUCGGUGCAGUGCAGCAAGGACAUGGUGUGUGGCAUCUGCAUGGGGUACGAGAAAGCCAACCCCAGUGAGCGCCGCUUCGGCAUCCUCUCCAGCUGAGACCAUACCUGGUGUCUCAAGUGUAUUCGAAAGUGGAGGAGUGCUAAGCAUUUUGAGAACAAGAUCAUAAAGUUCUGGGCUGAAUGCCAGAUCACAUCUACAUUUGUCAUUCCAAGUGAGUGCUGGGUGGAGGAGAAAGAGAAGCAGAAACUCAUUCAGAAAUACAAGGAGGCAAUGAGCAAAGGCAUGCAGGUAUUUUGAUGAAGGCCAUGGGAGCUGCCCAUUUGGAGGAAACUGUUACUAAAUUUUUUUUUUUUGGUAUAGGGGAUUGAACUUGGGACCUUGCACUUGCAAAGCAGGUGCCGGAACCACUGAGCUAAUUCCCCAGCCCUUGGAGGAAACUGUUUUUACAAGCAUGGGAACCCUGAUGACUUAAAGAGGAGCCACAGAGACAGAAAGUGGGAACAUCAAGCAGAUACUGGGUCCAACAGAGGAACCACUUCUGGGAGCUCACUGAGGAAAGAGAGAACAGAAGCCCCUUUGACAAUGAUGAAGAAGAGGCUGUCACCUUUGAGCUGGAUAAGAUGUUGCUUAUGCUUUUGGCUGCAAGUGGGGGCAAUGAACUGACUGACACUGACAACGAGUGGGACUUGUUUCACGAUAAGUUGGAAGACUUUUGUGACUUGGACCUCUACCGGCUUUGCAUGGCCUGGGAUCGGCCUACCGAGCCUCAAACAGUAGAUGUCCCCUGUGCCGUAUGGCAGUGAGUUGCUCUCCUACUCAGGCCUCAACUCCAGGUGCUGUCGUGACCACUUACCGGGUCCUACCCCACCCCACUUCCCCAAGACUGUGUCAUUUUCUUGGUUGCAAAAAGUUACAAAAACAAAUCUUCAAGUUAGAAAAAAAAAAGAACCAGUAUAGCUGAACAUGGUGGCACACACUUGUAGCAAGAUCCUGUCACAAAGUAAAAUGGGCUGGGGAAGUAGGUCAGUGAUAGAAAGUCUCCUGGGUCCCAUCCCCAGAAAUGGGGGGAAAACAUCAGAGUGGUACAUUGGCUUCUACUGAAGACAUUGAAUAUUAGAUCACUAUGAAGUUUUGAAUUUAAAACUUAUGGGGGAACAUGAUGUUUAUAUUUAUCCUAAAUAACUAUGUAAAGGUAGUAUAGAGACAUGCAAGUGCUCUGAUGUUUUACUUCCCCAGCACUCAGUCCUAGGACACUCCUGGAGGAUACAUUUUAGCAAAAUGAGGAUGCGUGAUAUGAAAGGAAAAGCUCUGCACCAUGGAAACUGGAGAAACCCAGAGGAGCAAUGAGGACAGGCCCAGCAAGACCCAUGGCAUAGGGUUGUACAAGAAAGAAAACAGAGUAAUGGAAGUCACCAUAAUACCUAAAAUUGAUGAACUAUGACAUAGUAGCAUGUGCAUACUAUUUAGAAAAGUGGAAGAAAACAAGAAAAAAACAUUUCAGAGAGUUGAAAUUGGUUGGUCCUGGAGGAUGGGUAAAGGACAGUUGUGUUUUGUCAUGAAUCUGUGGCCUUUUUGUUUUUAUCUAUGUACAUUACUUGAUAAAAAUGGGAACACUUAUGUACUGCUGAUCCAAAUGUAAGAUGGUGCAGCCAUUAACCUUAGAAAGUUAAACACAGUUACACUAUGUCAGGGUUUGGAGGUGCUAUGUUGCUAUGUCCUCCAGGGCUCAGGGGCUUGGUCUCUACUGCAGCAAUAUUCAGAGAGGGUACUUUUUGGAACCAGAUGGAUCAUGAGGACUCUAACUUCAUCAAUGGAUAAAUCCAUUAAUGAAUUCAUAGCUCAAUGAGCUUAUUAGGAAGUGGAGUCUAGUUGGAAGAAGCAAGUCACUGGGGGUAUGGCUUUGAAGGGUGUAUUUUGUUCCCAGCCCCUUCCUCUCCAGCUCACUCUGCUUACUGACUGCCUUGAUGUGAGCAGCUUUAUUCUGCCAUGCCCUUGUGCCAUUCCUUGUGCUACGGAAUACAGAAUACAGCAAUGGAAGCAGAUACCAUAGACUGACACUUCCGAAACUGUGAGUCAAAAUUAACAUUCUUCCUUUAAGCUGAUUUUCUCAGGUAUUAUAUAACAGUGACAAGAAAGUUAAUACAGCAUACAACCCUGCAAUUUCAUUCCUAGCUAUAUAGCCAAGACAGGUGUUUGCAGGAAUAGUUCUGUAGCAUUCAUAAUAACCAAAAAUGCAAACAAUACAAAUGUUCAUCAGUUGAUGAACAGAGAAAUAAAAUGUGGUAUGUACAUCCAUACAAUGGAAGACUAUUCUGUAAAAAGGAAGGAAAUACUGAUACAUAUUACAACAUGGUGAAACACAAAAGGCCGCAUAUUAUAUAAUUCCAUUAAUGUCAAGUGUUCAGAAUAGGCAACUCUAUAUACACAAAGUUAAUUGAGUAGAUUAGAGAUGUAGCUCAGUGACAGAGUGUGUGCUUAGAAUGGACAAGGGCCUGGAUCUGAGCACUGCUAAAAAGAGUUUAUUGGUUAGCUAAGGGUAGGGGGAGGAAGAGAUGAGGAGUAACUGCUAAGGAGUAUGGGAGUUCUUUUUUGGGGUAAUGAAAGUGUUCUUAGGGCCAGGGAUUUAGCUCAGUGUUUCCAUCACCUGCCUUGUAAGCACAAGGUUCCGAGUUUGAUCCCCAGUACCCCCAAAAAAAGUGUUCAUGUGAUGUUUGCACAACAUUGUGAAUAUAUUUUAAAACUACUAAACUGCACACUUUAAAAAAGGCCAACUGGUGAAUUUCAUGUCAAAUUUUAUCUCAAUUAAAGAUAAAUUUAAUUAUAAC